rnacentral:rRNA from 11 species
GGCUGCAUGCUUAAUAUGCUAAAGGCACCAGAUACUAUCCAAUUUUGGAAGCUAAGCAUGAUAGGUCCUGGUUCAUAGUUGGAUGGGAGACCACCAAUGAAUACUAGGUGCUGUAGGCU